GUGUGAACAAAAAGAAAGGCCGCCAGCCGGUAAUCCGGCUGGCGGCCUUUUCAUUUCGCAUGGCCAUU
rnacentral:sRNA from 1 species